UCAAGUAUAUAUAUAGAGAGAUAGAUAAGUAUGUGAUUAUUUCAUUGUGGCUCUAUUCCAUUUCCAUAGUUAAAAGACAGUAACCCUCCUUUAUUGUAGAGAG